rnacentral:rRNA from 1 species
CUACACAUGGCAGUCGGACGGUAGCACAGAGAGCUUGCUCUCGGGUGACGAGUGGCGGACGGGUGAGUAAUGUCUGGGGAUCUGCCCGAUAGAGGGGGAUAACCACUGGAAACGGUGGCUAAUACCGCAUAACGUCGCAAGACCAAAGAGGGGGACCUUCGGGCCUCUCACUAUCGGAUGAACCCAGGUGGGAUUAGCUAGUAGGCGGGGUAAUGGCCCACCUAGGCGACGAUCCCUAGCUGGUCUGAGAGGAUGACCAGCCACACUGGAACUGAGACACGGUCCAGACUCCUACGGGAGGCAGCAGUGGGGAAUAUUGCACAAUGGGCGCAAGCCUGAUGCAGCCAUGCCGCGUGUAUGAAGAAGGCCUUCGGGUUGUAAAGUACUUUCAGCGGGGAGGAAGGCGAUGCGGUUAAUAACCGCGUCGAUUGACGUUACCCGCAGAAGAAGCACCGGCUAACUCCGUGCCAGCAGCCGCGGUAAU